rnacentral:tRNA from 1 species
UUUAAAGUAGCAAAAUUUGAAUGUAUUGAAUUUAAGCUUCAAAGAAAGAAAGGUGGUUUUCUCUUUAAAA